GAUUGCGAAGGCGAUCUACUGGAACAUAACUGACGCUAAGAUGCGAAAGCGUGGGGAGCAAACAGGAUUAGAUACCCUGGUAGUCCACGCCCUAAACGAUGCACACUAGUUGUUGCUAUGCUCGACAUAGCAGUAAUGCAGUUAACACAUUAAGUGUGCCGCCUGGGGAGUACGGUCGCAAGAUUAAAACUCAAAGGAAUAGACGGGGACCCGCACAAGCGGUGGAGCAUGUGGUUUAAUUCGACGAUACGCGAAGAACCUUACCUGGCCUUGACAUAGUGAGAACCUAAUAGAGAUAUAAGGGUGCCAGUUUGCUGGAACUUACAUACAGGUGCUGCACGGCUGUCGUCAGCUCGUGUCGUGAGAUGUUGGGUUAAGUCCCGCAACGAGCGCAACCCUCGUGUCUAGUUACUAACAGUUCGGCUGAGGACUCUAGACAGACUGCCUGGGUAACCAGGAGGAAGGUGAGGACGACGUCAAGUCAUCAUGGCCCUUACGGCCAGGGCUACACACGUGCUACAAUGGGGUAUACAGAGAGCCGCAAUACCGCGAGGUGGAGCAAAUCUUUAAAAUAUCUCCCAGUUCGGAUAGCACUCUGCAACUCGAGUGCUUGAAGUUGGAAUCGCUAGUAAUCGUGAAUCAGCAAUGUCACGGUGAAUACGUUCCCGGGUCUUGUACUCACCGCCCGUCACACCAUGGGAGUUGAAUUCAUUCGAAGCGGGGAUGCUAAAGUAGCUACCUUCCACAGUGGAUUUAGUAACUAGGGUGAAGUCGUAACAAGGUA
rnacentral:rRNA from 1 species